rnacentral:sRNA from 1 species
UAAAGUCGGCUGGUAGCGGGGAGGAUCGCGGAGGCUUGGGGCAGCCGGGUAGCUCGGAGGUCGUGGCGCUGGGGGCUAGCACCAGCGCUCUGUCGGGAGGCGCAGCGGUUAGGUGGACCGGUCAGCGGACUCACCGGCCAGGGCGCUCCGUGCUGGAAUUUGAUAUUCAUAUUGAUCCGGGUUUUAUCCCUCUUCUUUUUUCUUAAACAUUUUUUUUAAACUGUAUUGUUUCCCGUUUUAAUUUAUUUUUGCUUGCCAUUCCCCACUUGAAUCGGGCCGACGGCUUGGGGAGAUUGCUCUACUUCCCCAAAUCACUGUGGAUUUUGGAAACCAGCAGAAAGAGGAAAGAGGUAGCAAGAGCUCCAGAGAGAAGUCGAGGAAGAGAGAGACGGGGUCAGAGAGAGCGCGCGGGCGUGCGAGCAGCGAGAGGGACAGGGGCAAAGUGAGUGACCUGCUUUUGGGGGUGACCGCCGGAGCGCGGCGUGAGCCCUCCCCCUUGGGAUCCCGCAGCUGACCAGUCGCGCUGACGGACAGACAGACAGACACCGCCCCCAGCCCCAGCGCCCACCUCCUCCCCGGCCGGCGGCCGACAGUGGACGCGGCGGCGAGCCGCGGGCAGGGGCCGGAGCCCGCGCCCGGAGGCGGGGUGGAGGGGGUCGGGGCUCGCGGCGUCGCGCUGAAACUUUUCGUCCAACUUCUGGGCUGUUCUCGCUUCGGAGGAGCCGUGGUCCGCGCGGGGGAAGCCGAGCGGAGCGGAGCCGCGAGAAGUGCUAGCUCGGGCCGGGAGCAGCCGCAGCCGGAGGAGGGGGAGGAGGAAGAGGAGAAGGAAGAGGAGAGGGGGCCGCGGUGGCGACUCGGCGCUCAGAAGCCGGGCUCAUGGACGGGUGAGGCGGCGGUGUGCGCAGACAGUGCUCCAGCCGCGCGCGCGCCCCAGGCCCUGGCCCGGGCCUCGGCCCGGGGAGGAAGAGUAGCUCGCCGAGGCGCCGAGGAGAGCGGGCCGCCCCACAGCCCGAGCCGGAGAGGGAGCGCUAGCCGCGCCGGCCCCGGUCGGGCCUCCGAAACCAUGAACUUUCUGCUGUCUUGGGUGCAUUGGAGCUUUGCCUUGCUGCUCUACCUCCACCAUGCCAAGUGGUCCCAGGCUGCACCCAUGGUAGAAGGAGGAGGGCAGAAUCAUCACGAAGUGGUGAAGUUCAUGGAUGUCUAUCAGCGCAGCUACUGCCAUCCAAUCGAGACCCUGGUGGACAUCUUCCAGGAGUACCCUGAUGAGAUCGAGUACAUCUUCAAGCCAUCCUGUGUGCCCCUGAUGCGAUGCGGGGGCUGCUGCAAUGACGAGGGCCUGGAGUGUGUGCCCACUGAGGAGUCCAACAUCACCAUGCAGAUUAUGCGGAUCAAACCUCACCAAGGCCAGCACAUAGGAGAGAUGAGCUUCCUACAGCACAACAAAUGUGAAUGCAGGUGAGGAUGUAGUCACGGAUUCAUUAUCAGCAAGUGGCUGCAGGAUGCCUGAUCUGUGCCAGGGUUAAGCAUGCUGUACUUUUUAGCCCCCGUCCAGCUUCUGGCUAUGUGACCUUUGGCAUUUUACUUCAAUGUGCCUCAGUUUCUACAUCUGUAAAAUGGGCACAAUAGUAGUACACUUCAUAGCAUUGUUAUAAGGGUUAAACAAGUUAUAUAUGAAAAGAUUAA